GGGUUGUGAGGUUAAGCGACUAAGCGUACACGGUGGAUGCCCUGGCAGUCAGAGGCGAUGAAGGACGUGCUAAUCUGCGAUAAGCGCCGGUAAGGUGAUAUGAACCGUUAUAACCGGCGAUUUCCGAAUGGGGAAACCCAGUGUGACUCGUCACACUAUCAUUAACUGAAUCCAUAGGUUAAUGAGGCGAACCGGGGGAACUGAAACAUCUAAGUACCCCGAGGAAAAGAAAUCAACCGAGAUUCCCCCAGUAGCGGCGAGCGAACGGGGAGGAGCCCAGAGCCUGAAUCAGCAUGUGUGUUAGUGGAAGCGUCUGGAAAGGCGCGCGAUACAGGGUGACAGCCCCGUACACAAAAGCGCAUGUGCUGUGAGCUCGAUGAGUAGGGCGGGACACGUGGUAUCCUGUCUGAAUAUGGGGGGACCAUCCUCCAAGGCUAAAUACUCCUGACUGACCGAUAGUGAACCAGUACCGUGAGGGAAAGGCGAAAA
rnacentral:rRNA from 1 species